CAAUCUAUCUUCUUGAUUAGUGAUGGUAAAAAAUUUACAUGUUCAAAUCAAAACACCCUUCUCUCAGAAGAAGAAAAAAUGCAAAAAAGAAGAAAGAUAAGCAACCAGGAAGAUACAUUUCUAGUUAAUCCCUUGAAGGACUCCAUCUCUAUCCAUGUAUACAUACAAAAUCUGGGGAUCAAGAAAGCCUUUUUCCUUUCAAGAAUCUCCAUGUUUAUGCCAGCAAACAAGCAUGGCAACGCAGCGCCUCAUGAUAUAGAAUCUUGCCUUCUGUUCUUUAGCUAAGCUACUGCACUUUCGAGUAAUGGAGGAGUUCUUCUGAGAGUAACUCCUUGGAAGAGGACACUUGCUGCUUGGAGAAGAGCAUUUAAGGGAAGAGCUUCUCAAGAGAGGAGACUUUGAAGAUGAACUCUUGGUUGAGAAACUCCUAACAAAAGAAGAAGAAGAUGAACCUUCUUUCUUUGAUGGCUUCCACUUCUCAUCCAUGUAAAAAUAGACAGAAAAAGAAAAGCCAAUGAUCGAUGUGACACUUCUUUCUUUUGUGCAGGCUGUAAGAGAGAGGGAGAGACAGAGCGAGAGAAAGAGAACAGAAAAGAGAAAGAGAAUUGAUUUAAAGGAGAACUGUAGGCUAUAGUGAGGCUUUGAUAACAUAUAUAGGAAGUUAGGUUAUGAAGACAUCAAGUGCUUAUAAUGACCAAAUUUCUUGCUUGUCUAUGGAAGCAUGGUAUCCAUGUAAUUUAUUGGUGUUGUGGCAUUAUUUGAUUGGAUGAUUCUGAAAUAGGACUCAUGUGUGAAGUCCAUAGUAGAUGAAUCCCUGAAUCUUGAACGCUCCUCUAUCCCUCUUGGAGAUCCAUCCAUCAUUUAAUUUGGAGACACUGGUGUCGUACGGUGCUUCAUUACGGUGAAUUUUUUAGGGCCUUAUUUGAGAGAGAGAA
rnacentral:misc_RNA from 1 species